rnacentral:lncRNA from 1 species
AAAUAACCUUAGUAGUGAAGUACAAAACCAAAUCCAGAAAGCAGUCCAGGGGUUUAGUCAGAUUGCUUCUUCUCACCGAGCAGCGUCAUACAGUAUGUAUUCCUACCCAUGCACACUGGUCAAGGGAAGAAAGAAGUGGUCAGUAGUAGGAGGAAUGGGCUUAGCCAUGUAAAAUGUGCCUCCUUCGUCUUCUCAUUCUGCCAUGAUUGUAAGUUUCCUGAGGUCUCCCCAGCCACGCUUCCUGAACAGCCUGCGGAACGGCAGGAAUGAAAGAUUCUCCCCAGUGCCUGAAAGCUUGAAGGGAUGAAUAACUCCUCCCUUCUCAGGCCCAGUCCCAAGGCACAAGACCACUUGUGCCAGCAGCCAGCAGCGUGCAUCAGCAAGACAGCAGAAGCAGGAAGACAGCCUGCUGGAAGACACUUACCCUGGCCGGAAGACAUGUACCCCUGAAGAUGGAGAAAGAGGCCUUCCGGGUACUACGUAGCAGUCACGUCAGACCGGGACACUUCCUGUUUAGAGAGGACUAUAAAACUCCGGUCCGGUAAUCACUUGGGGCUGACGCCAUUUUAGGCCUCAUCCCGCCUGCACCCAGGCACUCAUUAAAACAGCGUGUUGCCCCACACUGCCUCGUGUUGUCUGUUGGUGCGCUCUCGGGGUUCAAACCGAUACAAGAACCUUUCAAAUGGUAGUAAGAUUAAAGGUUUUUACUAAGUUAUUAAUAACAAAAAAGGCACAGAUCUUAAAUGUGCAGUUAUGAAUUUUGGCAAUUGUAUACAUUCAUGUAAUCACUACCCACAACAAAAAUAGAAUGUUUCCACCACCACAAAAAGUUUGCAACACCCCUGUACCUCUUUCUAGUGCAUUUCCAAUCAUGUCCUCAUACCUACCUACCCCACAACCAUUUUUUAAUCUCUUCCAGAGCUAACGCUUAAUACAUUGAAUUUUACAUAAUCUUAGGAUAGACUGUCCCACAUAAAGGAGACUAUCUGCAAUAAUUUAUGUUGGAAGAAUAAGAUAUUGAUGUCAAUUAAUACAUUUUGUGUCCUGGUUUAAAAAUGCUCCUACUAUUAAUUAAAAUUUUAAAGACAUUUUCUUGUGAAAGUAUAAAGGGAUACUUUUUUCUAUUUUGAACAUUAUGAGUUCAAAAGUUCAUUCUGAUAGAAAAUUUUAUUUUGUGUGUUUCAACUAUGUAUGGAUGGAAAUAAAACUAGGAAGAAAUAUAGAUAAUUCUUUAUACUUCUUUGCAUUUUCCAAAUUUUAUGCUACAACCAUGUAUUGCUUUUAUUGGUACAAUAAAGCAAUAUCAUCAGUGUAAAAUGUACUUAUUUUUUCAUAAUUAUGUUAAGUCUCUUUAUAUUUAUUUUGAUCAAAGUGUCUUAGAGAUGUGUUUUCAAUUAAGAAGUCCCAGGGUCUCCAAGCUCACUGGCACUGUCCUGUUUUUCCUCACACAAAUACUAACUGCUAUGGACAAUGACACAGUUCUGGGAAAAACCCAUGAGAGAUCAUUAGAGAUAAGAGAGAAUAUUCACCAUGUUUGUUUCACUCCCAGGAACAAGCAAAGUUUUGUUUCUCAA